ACGCCUAUCUCUGACGUCACGAAGCGCGCCGGGCAGCGACUGCUGGACUUCGGUCGUCAUCUGGGUGCGCCGGCCUGGCCGUUGCUUAUCAGUUGCUAGGGGCAGGCUACAGCCGAGUCGCUCUGUCAGGAUCAUGCCUGACAGGAACAGAUUUCCAGGGCAGCUGAGGCCACUAGGCUUGGAUGAAAGAAGCAGGACAGAUGCAAAAUCUGGAGAGCGAGGGAGCUGGGCGAUCAGUCAGUACCCAGACGGGCAGCAUGACGGGUCAAAUACCAAGGCUUUCUAAAGUCAACCUCUUCACUCUGCUCAGUCUGUGGAUGGAACUCUUCCCAGGAGUAGAGGCCCAAAGGCAAAAAUCUCAGAAAAAUGAAGAGGGAAAGUGUGGCCCAUCAGGAGAUAAUGAAGAGAUGGCCAGUGUAUCAACUGACAAAAAACAGGUGAAGAAAACUGGUCUUGUGGUGGUGAAAAACAUGAAAAUUGUUGGUCUCCAUUGUUCUAGUGAAGAUUUACAUGCUGGGCAAAUUGCUCUUAUUAAACAUGGGUCAAGGCUGAAAAACUGUGAUCUUUAUUUUUCCAGAAAACCAUGUUCUGCUUGUUUGAAAAUGAUUGUAAAUGCUGGAGUUAACCGAAUUUCAUAUUGGCCUGCUGAUCCAGAAAUAAGCUUGCUUGCUGAGGCUUCUAGUUCUGAAGAUGCAAAGUUAGAUGCCAAAGCAGUGGAAAGAUUGAAGUCAAAUAGCCGGGCCCAUGUGUGUGUCUUACUCCAGCCUUUGGUGUACUAUAUGGUGCAAUUCGUAGAGGAGACUUCUUACAAAUGUGACUUUAUUCAAAAAAUUACAAAAACAGUACCAGAUGCUAACACUGACUUUUAUUCUGAAUGUAAACAAGAAAGAAUAAAAGAAUAUGAAAUGAUAUUUUUGGUUUCAAAUGAAGAAAUGCAUAAGCAAAUACUGAUGACUAUCGGUCUGGAGAACCUGUGUGAAAAUCCGUACUUUAGCAAUUUAAGGGAAAACAUGAAAGACCUAAUUCUACUUUUGGCCACAGUAGCCUCCAGUGUGCCCAACUUUAAACAUUUUGGAUUCUACUGUAACAAUCCCGAACAGAUUAAUGAAAUUCACAAUCAAAGUUUGCCACAAGAAAUUGCAAGGCACUGCAUGGUUCAGGCCAGAUUAUUGGCAUAUCGAACUGAGGAUCAUAAAACAGGAGUUGGAGCAGUCAUUUGGGCAGAAGGGAAAUCUAGAAGUUGUGAUGGAACGGGUGCUAUGUACUUCAUAGGAUGUGGUUACAAUGCCUUUCCUGUGGGAUCUGAGUAUGCUGACUUCCCUCACAUGGAUGACAAGCAGAAAGACAGAGAAAUAAGGAAGUUCAGAUACAUUGUACAUGCAGAACAGAAUGCCUUGACAUUUAGAUGUCAGGAAAUAAAGCCAGAAGAAAGAAGCAUGAUUUUUGUGACCAAGUGCCCAUGUGAUGAAUGUGUGCCUUUAAUUAAAGGUGCAGGCAUAAAACAAAUCUAUGCAGGGGAUGUAGACGUUGGAAAAAAGAAAGCAGACAUCUCUUACAUGAGGUUUGGUGAACUUGAAGGUGUUGGCAAGUUUACAUGGCAACUGAAUCCAUCUGAUGUUUAUGUUCUUGAAAACAAUGAGCCUGAAAGGAGAGACAACGGUGUGUUGCAAGCCACGCCCAUGAGUGAAGAGGAGCAUCUCAGCAAGAAGCUGCGCCUGGAGAAGCGGGCGGAGGGCCUGGCCAUGCUGCAGUGAGGCCUGGACUGGGACUGCGCGCCUGCACUGCAGCCUCGUGACCCAGAAAAUAAGGAAAGACUUUGUGAAUCACUGACAGGUUUUUUAGGAUAUGUUAUCAAGAAUAUUUUAACUUAGAUUUAUUUAUGUAUUUUCUACAGUAUGGCAACGUAGUCCUUUAUUAUACAAAUGAGAUAGCAGGAAUUUAAGGAGACCAAGGUACUUACCAGCAGAGACACAUUUCUGUUGAUCUUGAAUUGAUAGGACAGGUUUAAAAGGGAUUGGUUCACUGGAAGUCACACCUGAAGGUGUAACUAUAUGCCUUUUGAGAAGUAUUAAUUCUUUUGGAUUACAAGGGUGACCAUUAGUAAACUGCUCCAAAAGAUAAAUGACAAUCUGGUCAUCUUUUAAGAGUCCACAUAUAGCUAACCAAAAUGUGAUAUUUCAAUCCAAAUCUGCCUCGUAAUUCACUUAAUUAGGACUGACUCGUAAAGUUGGUGGACCUAGUCUCCAUUUUAAAAGUAUAUUUUUUCAAAUGUUAAUUUCUUGGCUGGGGGUGUAAAUCAGGAGAAUGUUUGCCCAGCCUGUGCAAGGCCCUGGGCUCAAGUCCCAGCACUGCAAAAGUAAAAUAACAUAAAAUAAAAUGUUAAUUUCUCUUAAAUAUUUCAGUAUAUGAUUCACAAAGAUGUGUUGAACUAGGACCCAGUUAUGGCACUUAUUUUUGGUAACAGAAGAAAGAGAAUAUUUUUCUGAGGCAAAAUUGCUGUUUGGUAUCACUGACACUUGAGAUCACUAACAGUGACCUUCAAGGCUGGUCAUGAUGUCACAGAGAAGAAAUAUUUUACUGUGAAAUAUUGAAGCCAACAGUUUUAGAAUUUCAUUAAUAAAUUUCAUUUAUUUUCCCUUUCCUAUUACUAACAUGGCUUUGACCUUAAAAAAGAAGGCCUACCUGCCUUGCAAGCAGAUGGUCGUGAGUUCGAUCCCUGGUACCGAUAAAAAGGAAAAAGACAAAAAAAAAAAAAAAAGAAGGCCUUUUAAGAACCUUUGUAAGCUUUAAGAAUACUGAAAGUCUUUGAAGUAAACAGAUCCAUUUCAAAUUGACCUUUAUAAUUUCUCUCAUUUUGAUUUGCUGAGUAACUUUUAGAAAAUUUGAAUCAAAAGAUGAGCAUGUGAUCUGUACUUUCCUAGGGUUCUGGAGGGAGGCUCACAGACCUGGGGAGUGGCAUCCUGAGAAACAGCUCCCCUGCCUGUGUGGAGAUGAAAAUGUCCUCAUUUAAACAAGGUCCCUUCAGUCAUCCUGAGUGACAGUCAAAUGGUGGGUUUUGAAUGAUACUGUACAAUGACCAGAGUAGAUGACAGAGCAGAAAUGAGAAAGGCCAGCUGAAGGUGGAGAGCUACAGAGUAAGUUUUCUAAGGAAGAGAUGAGGAAAAAGUAUUCAAGGCAAAGCAGUCAGUUCCAGGUCUUGUGUAAUUUCCUGCCAGCAAAGGAUGAGAACCCAGGAGGCUGGGAGUCAAGAACAUUUAUGAGGGGUGUGUGCUGCUGAGCCUCUGCUCCAAGUGGAGUCCUGACAUUUACACAGAUGCCUGACUUUAGUCGAGACCUCGUCCAAGAACAUCGUGAGCUCAGGCCUGCUGGUUGCAUUCCAGGACCCUGACACCGCAGGAGCCUCCCAGGCGGCCGCGGGGAGAGCACCACAUACUUCCCUGACCUUUCCCAGAUUGCAGCCUGGGCGAUGAAGGAGAGAAAAAGAGGAGCUGGGCCUCAGACCACCGUGGGUUUCUAUCUAGUAUGUCCCAUCUUAGAGCUUGGAUAGACUUCUUAGAAUUCCCAUGUCUUCCAAGAUUUAAUAGAAUGUGGAAAUCUAGUGUCUGGUGAGUGGCACUUGAUCAAAGGCGCUCAUCACUUGGUCAAUGGGAUGUGGACAGGGCCAUGGAUGGAGUGGGGUUUUGGGGUACCCAGCACCCCACCACAACUGACCCAUGUUUUGUCCUUGUUUGUAGUGUUGACAAAAACACAACUGCAUAACCAACAUUCAGGACAAUGAAAACAACCAGAGAGUAUAUGUAGUACCUUUUUAUUUAGCCUUAAACAUGUGCUUUGGGGAUAGUUUAUUAAAUAUGACCUUUUCAAAAUUAGUUCUCACACUAUAUACAGUGAUCUUUGUGCAAACAUAUUUUGACUGUGAGCUUCCUGCUCCCCCUUUUGAGUUAAUAAUUUACAAACUGACAUCACAAUAAAAACCCAGCUACUUCAUUUACUGGGUUGGAGACUAUAAUUUUCAAACAUGGUAGGUACGGAGCUAGAAUAAGGGAAUGCUAUGAAGGGCUAAUUCAAGCCAGCAUAAGUAGUGUGUCUAUCAAAAAAGAAUGAUCACCAGGCCUUACUUUCCAGCAGAAAACAUAUGUCUCAUGAUGUUACGAAAUAGUAUUAAGCAACCACACACACUUUCAAUUACUGUUUCACCUUCAUUUAAAAGUAUUUACACUCAGUCAAACCCAGAAAAGUCAAACUCAAAGGGACUCUGGACUGCCAAGGAAUGUUAUAAAGAUAAUCUGGCAUCAGGGGCUUAGACACAGGGCAUCAGGGGCUUCCUGACUCUCCUCGAUGGCCCUGGCCAGGGCUGCGACUGGAAGUUGUGGCAGGUCAGCACCGUCUGCCUCAAGCUGCACUCUGGGCACAAAAACAACACUUGAGUCCCAGCCAGGCCGCGGGAUUCCCAUCAGGUAGUUCUUCAGGGACAAAGUCUAUAGAGGGGACUGAGCCUGGAAAACAUAGUUCUUUUUCCCUCUCUGGGAAGAGAAAAAGCUGGCUGAAGGAAAAAAGAAGCCCCCAAGUAUAAAAACUGAGGGUUUCAAUGGAUGUCAAAACUCAUGGUGUAACAGAAUUUUAAAAUUAUAAUUACAGCCACAAGUUUUUUUAUAUAUUUGGUACCUGAAAAGAAACUGUGACCUUUUUAAAAUUUAUUUUUGUUCCUAUAUCAUGUUAUGGAAUAAUAUUAAGCCACCAAAUACACAGAUAAACUCCUUAAUUACAGUAUGCAGGAGAGUAUUUGGGACCAAAAUUUUUAGAUUUUUUUUACAUUAUUACUGAAGACUUUGAUGAGAAGUUAAAGAAUGAAAGCUUAUCAGAGAACAAACUGGAAAAAAUGUCUAAUCAUUUGAGAUGCACAAAUGAUUUCCCUUUCCAUGGGCAUUACCACCCAUGGAUACAAGCUCCCUACCAUAACUCUCUGGACCCAUGGUUUGUACCCAAUGUAAUGAUUCUCACCCUGAAAACACUGUCUUUACAAAGCAUUCUUCCUGUAUUGCCAGUUAAGAAUAAAAUAUCCCGACAUCAUUGACCUCUA